rnacentral:rRNA from 1 species
UACAGAGGUCCCGAGCGUUGUUCGGAUUCAUUGGGCGUAAAGGGUGCGUAGGCGGUUUUCUAAGUUUGAUGUGAAAUCCCGGGGCUUAACCCUGGAAUUGCAUUGAAUACUGGGAGACUAGAGUACUGGAGAGGAAACUGGAAUUUACGGUGUAGCAGUGAAGUGCGUAGAGAUCGUAAGGAAGACCAGUGGCGAAGGCGAGUUUCUGGACAGUUACUGACGCUGAGGCACGAAGGCCAGGGGAGCAAACGGG